AUUGAACGCUGGCGGCAUGCCUUACACAUGCAAGUCGAACGGCAGCACGGGUGCUUGCACCUGGUGGCGAGUGGCGAACGGGUGAGUAAUACAUCGGAACAUGUCCUGUAGUGGGGGAUAGCCCGGCGAAAGCCGGAUUAAUACCGCAUACGAUCUACGGAUGAAAGCGGGGGACCUUCGGGCCUCGCGCUAUAGGGUUGGCCGAUGGCUGAUUAGCUAGUUGGUGGGGUAAAGGCCUACCAAGGCGACGAUCAGUAGCUGGUCUGAGAGGACGACCAGCCACACUGGGACUGAGACACGGCCCAGACUCCUACGGGAGGCAGCAGUGGGGAAUUUUGGACAAUGGGCGAAAGCCUGAUCCAGCAAUGCCGCGUGUGUGAAGAAGGCCUUCGGGUUGUAAAGCACUUUUGUCCGGAAAGAAAUCCUUGGCUCUAAUACAGUCGGGGGAUGACGGUACCGGAAGAAUAAGCACCGGCUAACUACGUGCCAGCAGCCGCGGUAAUACGUAGGGUGCGAGCGUUAAUCGGAAUUACUGGGCGUAAAGCGUGCGCAGGCGGUUUGCUAAGACCGAUGUGAAAUCCCCGGGCUCAACCUGGGAACUGCAUUGGUGACUGGCAGGCUAGAGUAUGGCAGAGGGGGGUAGAAUUCCACGU
rnacentral:rRNA from 1 species